AUAAUUAAAAAUAUAAAUAAUGAAAAAUGAAAAAAAAAAAGCGUAGCCCCCCCCUAUAUACGAAGCGCUUGCAGCACUUCUUUUUGGCUGGCUUUUGUUUGCCCUUUUUCUUGUCCCUUUG
rnacentral:ribozyme from 12 species